ACUCAAAGGAAUAGACGGGGGCCCGCACAAGCGGUGGAGUAUGUGGUUUAAUUCGACGCAACGCGAAGAACCUUACCAACCCUUGACAUGUCCAGUAUGGGCUUGAGAGAUCAGGUCCUUCAGUUCGGCUGGCUGGAACACAGGUGCUGCAUGGCUGUCGUCAGCUCGUGUCGUGAGAUGUUGGGUUAAGUCCCGCAACGAGCGCAACCCUCAUCUUUAGUUGCCCCCGGGUCAGGCCGGGCACUCUAAAGAAACCGCCGGUGACAAGCCGGAGGAAGGCGGGGAUGACGUCAAGUCCUCAUGGCCCUUACGGGUUGGGCUACACACGUACUACAAUGGUGGUGACAGAGGGCAGCGAAAGCGCGAGCUGGAGCUAAUCCUCAAAAGCCAUCUCAGUUCGGAUUGCACUCUGCAACUCGGGUGCAUGAAGUUGGAAUCGCUAGUAAUCGCAGAUCAGCACGCUGCGGUGAAUACGUUCCCGGGCCUUGCACACACCGCCCGU
rnacentral:rRNA from 1 species